UACGGAGGGGGCUAGCGUUGUUCGGAAUUACUGGGCGUAAAGCGCACGUAGGCGGCUUUGUAAGUUAGAGGUGAAAGCCCGGGGCUCAACUCCGGAAUUGCCUUUAAGACUGCAUCGCUAGAAUUGUGGAGAGGUAAGUGGAAUUCCGAGUGUAGAGGUGAAAUUCGUAGAUAUUCGGAAGAACACCAGUGGCGAAGGCGACUUACUGGACGAUUGUUGACGCUGAGGUGGCGAAAGCGUGGGGAGCAAACAGG
rnacentral:rRNA from 1 species